AAAUGGUCCUGGCUGUCAGACCCAGAGCUGUUGUUGACUAUUUACUCAUCUGUUCAGGAGCUCAUGCUAAUACUGUUACUUGACUCAGCACACAGAACAUAUGUCUGAUCAUUCUCAACCAGCCUUUGGAAACAGAGUACCUGCACACACACAGGAGUAAAGAAGUGUCGGUUGAUAGAGACAGCAGAUCAGGAGCUGACUGACUUCACUAAAUGUCUGGCCAUCAUGGUGGAGGAGAUCAAAAGACAACCACUUCGGAACACUCUCAGGGAGAAGAGCUAAUGAAAGAGAGGGGAUGACGAGAGGCAGAGCGGGAGAGCGGGAGAGCUAUAUUGAAGAGAGGUGGAUACUAUAGUGACCCUGGGUGGUCUGGCUGACAGGAAGGUUUGACCAGACCAUGGCUUCAGUAGAGACUGUACCACGCCCUCAACAUGACACAACUACCUCUGGUGUUUCUACAGGGAUGCAGUCUGGCCUACCUGCUAUGGCCGAUCUGCCAACCUGCUCGUGGGUGACAGGUAACCGUGUUUCCACCAAGCUGUUCGUGGCCUGGAGUGGCACGCUGGAACUUCCAGAGGCUUGAAGACCUGAAGCCAUGUGAUGUGGUCCAGUCCUCACAGCUGCAUUCAUCAGCCCCUGCACCUGCUACACCGGCUGUGACAGAUCUGCCACCCCCCAGCAGUUCAUCUGCAGUCACAGCAGUCCUCUGCUGUGGUAUUUAAUUUACCGGCUGCACCAGGUCCUACUACACUGGCCGUGAAGGGAGAAACUACUGAGGAGACCCAGAUGGAUACAGAUCGGCCAUGCUCUCCACCAGUGCCCGACAGCCUCACACAGAAGUGCAUACAUGGGGCCUAUCAAGACUGACAAAGCAGAGAUGGGUGGCUGACAAGGAAACAUAAAACAUGCACACACACGCUCUCUCUCUGUGUCUCUGUCUCCCACACACACACACACACACACACACACACACACACACACACACACACACACACAUUAUCCCCAAUAUAAAUAAAUUGUAAUAACUUGUUGAUUUUAUGAAUCUUCCAUUUUAUUUUAGGAUUGGAGAUAUCUACUGUAUGCCUACAUUACCAUUAUCAAUAUCUACAUAAUUACUCUAAAUAUCUACCAAAUCAAAGUGAUAUUGAUAAUAUUGUAAAACAGUAUUGCUUAAUGUGUAUAGUUUGAGGAAAUUCUGUGUGCUCAUAAAACAUAGUCCAAUCUCACACUAACACACAUUAGACCCAAUGUAGAUACAUUGUUUAUUUUAUGUGUGCUACAUUUUAUUUGAGGAUUAUGUGCAAUAAAUUACAUUCACAGUUA